AGUGAACGCUGGCGGUAGGCCUAACACAUGCAAGUCGAACGGCAGCACAGUAAGAGCUUGCUCUUACGGGUGGCGAGUGGCGGACGGGUGAGGAAUACAUCGGAAUCUACUUUUUCGUGGGGGUUAACGUAGGGAAACUUACGCUAAUACCGCAUACGACCUACGGGUGAAAGCAGGGGAUCUUCGGACCUUGCGCGAUUGAAUGAGCCGAUGUCGGAUUAGCUAGUUGGCGGGGUAAAGGCCCACCAAGGCGACGAUCCGUAGCUGGUCUGAGAGGAUGAUCAGCCACCCUGGAACUGAGACACGGUCCAGACUCCUACGGGAGGCAGCAGUGGGGAAUAUGGGACAAUGGGCGCAAGCCUGAUCCAGCCAUACCGCGUGGGUGAAGAAGGCCUUCGGGUUGUAAAGCCCUUUUGUUGGGAAAGAAAAGCAGCAGGUUAAUACCCCGCUGUUCUGACGGUACCCAAAGAGUAAGCACCGGCUAACUUCGUG
rnacentral:rRNA from 1 species